UCUGAUUCUUGAAAUGUCUGGUUCCAUCUGAAAAGCAGGAAGCUGCAAAGAAAAGCAAGCUUGAUGAAUGCUUCCUGCAAUCCCAGUCACAGCCUUGUGAAUCGUCAGAGAAUCCCUUUCUUUCCCGAUCUCCAUGCUGAGGUGUCAAGAUCGUGGAAAAAGCUGUUCUCUGCACGUAUUUCUAGCCCCAAUGUGCAUAAUUAUUCUAACAUUGUGGGUCUGAAAGAGAACGGCUAUGGGGUUGAGGAGUCCUUCGCAUCUUAUCUCUCACCCAACGCUGUGUCAUCCCUAAAGGCUCCGACGCUGCACACCAAACUCUGCCGUACAACUUCAGCAUUGGUGGGCAAGUCAUAUGUGGCGGCUGGUCAUGCUGGGCAUGCCUGCACACGAUGGGGCUCUUGCAGGCAUACCAAGCCGGCAUUUUAAGAGAUCUAGAUGAGGCGGGGCAGAUUAAAGAGCUGCAUCAACCUGUCUCUCCGUACUACCAAGGAGACGGCCCAUGCCAUCGGCUGCUCCAUGGCAGCAUUGGUAGCUACGGAGAGACAUUUAUGGCUGAACCUGUCCGGCAUCGGUGAGAAGGACAGGUCCUUUCUCAUCGAUGUGCCGCUUUCGCCUUCUGGCCUCUUCGGCGAUGCAGUAAACACCGUAGUCGAGAGGUUUCAGGAGGCGAAGUGCCAAUCAGCGGCAUUUAAGCAGUUUCUCCCCCGCCGGCAUUCUAGAUCUCAUGGGGCUGCUACCAAGGAGCAGCCUCACACAUCAGCCGCAAGCUUUUUUUACCUGCAGAUGCAGAAGGAGAGUGUUGCUGCUCGUGCUUCCCCUCAAAGAGCUUGGGGGCCGAAGCGUCAGUCUUAGCCGAAGCCUUCUAAACCGAAGACAGACCUGAGGGCUGUCAUUCAGGCAAGGAAGGCUUCGGCGAAGAGGUCCUGACAUGACGCACAGUCCUCUGAGGGCGGUCCCCCCCGUGGUGGAGUGGCAACAUCUUGCUCCUCCGCGGAGCCCUCAGGAAAUUGACAUAUGCUUCCCGCUGCCUCGUGCGUUUCGGGAUGCAUCGGUUUCCAGCUAACAAAAAUCGGAAGGUCCGCCAGUUCUCCCUGUGGCCCUAUCGAGUUCGCUUCCUCUCAUGAGGCCUGUAGAAAAUAUUUCGGGUGUUUCCUCUGCCGGCCAGCUGCUUCAGGGCACCCAGAGUAUUUUACCCAUAAUUCCCGAGGUCAGUCCGGAGAGACUGAUUCCCUUAAUGGAGCAUGUUGAGGCUUGGAAAGCUCUUUAAAACAUAUCUCUGUGGAUCCUGUGUACGGUCGAGAUAAGUUACAGACUCCAAUUCAAGUACCGUCCGCCGAAAUUCAAUGGGGUAGUUCACACACUGGUCAGCCCCGAGCAGGCUCGGGUUAUGGAGUCAGAAGUUCAGUCUCUCUUAGCGAAGGAGGCCAUAGAAAUUAUUCCUCCCCACGAGAGAGAAACCGGGUUCUACAGCCAGUAUUUUAUAGUCCCCAAGAAGGAUGGAGGGCGGUGUUAUAGAUCUCGGUGUUGAAUUGGUCUCUAAGGAGAUUCAGAUUCAAAAUGUUGACCAUCCCGAUAAUUGUGAACCAAAUCAGGUCUGAGGACUGGUUUGUUACCAUAGAUGUAAAGGACGCAUACUUCCAUAUAUCCAUCCUUCCCCAACACAGGAAGUUCCUGAGGUUCGCCUUCAGGGGAAAGGCAUACCAGUAUCAAGUACUUCCAUUUGGCCUAGCUCUCUGUCCCCUCGCACCUUCAUGAAGUGUAUGGAUGCGGCCUUGGCCCCAUUGAGACUCCAGGGCAUCCGUAUACUCAAUUACAUCGACGACUGGCUCAUUUUAGCCUAGUCAGAGGAGAUGGCAAUUCGGCAUCAAGAUGUCGUUCUCCACCAUGUAAAGUGCUUGGGUUUAAGGCUAAAUGUCAAGAAAAGCAUACUGACACCCCAGCAGAAAACUGCAUUCCUGGGGGUAGUGUGGAAUUCGGUUACGAUGUGGGCACAGCUGUCUCCUGCUCGAAUACAAAGUAUUCUGACUACAGUCAGCAACAUCAGGCUAGGCCAGGCCAUCACUGUCAAACACUUCCAGAGAGUGCUGGGGCUUCUGGCAGCAGCGUCCAACAUAAUUCAUUUUGGCCUGCUGUAUAUGAGACCCCUGCAGUGGUGGCGCAGGACCAGGGGGUUCUCCCUGAGGGGAAACCCGUUUCGCAUGAUCAAAAUAACGCGCAGAUGCCUUUCGUUCUUUGAUUAUGUGGAAGAAACCAUGGUUCCUGUCCCAAGGUCCUGUCUUGGGAGCGCUCUGGCAGCGUCUCAUCGUGACUACGGAUGCGUCCCUCACAGGCUGGGGAGCAGUCAUGGAAGGCCGCUUUACCAGGGGUCUGUGGAGAGGGCAUCAUCUCUCGUGGCACAUGAAUUGCCUGGAGAUGAUGGCUGUGUUCUUGGCCCUAAGACACUUCCUCCCAGAUCUCAGGGGCCAUUCGGAUAGACAAUACAUCGGUGGAUUCAUACAUAAAUCGGCAAGGGGGUUUGAGAUCGCACACUCUGUGCAGACUGGUGCAUCAAAUCCUCUUGUGGCCCCAGAGGAAACUGCUCUCUCUGAGGGCUAUGUACCAACCUGUGGACCAGAAUUUGGGAGCGGACAUUUUGUCGAGGCAGGGGCUGAGGCCUGGGGAAUGGAGGCUCCAUCCCGAGAUGGUGGAGUUAAUUUGGGAGAGAUUCAGCCAGAGGGAGGUGGAUCUGUUCGCCUUUCACGAGAACACCCACUGCCCGUUUUGGUUCUCCCCUCACGCAUACAGCUCCCUUGGGACUGGAUGCUAUGUUUCAGACAUGGCCGGGGGCUCUGCUCCCGGGAGUUUUGGAGAAGGUCCACCGGCACAGGGUCAGCCUACUUCUAGUAGCUCCGUACUGGCCGGCCCAAGUGUGGUUUUCAGACAUUAUAGCUCUCCUAGCAGGCACUCCUUAGCAAAUUCCGAUCAGACCGGACCUGCUGUCUCAAGCCGGGGGCCUAAUUCAUCACCCCUGGCCAGAGCUAUGGAAACUAUGGGUCUGGCCCCUGAUGGGGACCAGCUUUUAAGCACUGGUCUCUCAACUGAGGUUGUUGAGACCAUCCUAAACUCUAGAGCUCCCUCCACAAGGAAACUCUAUGCCCUAAAGUGGAACGUGUUCAGUUUAUGGUGCAGGGAACAUCAGUUGGACCCAGUUAACUGCCCAGUGACUUCAGUGCUGGAUUUCCUCCAAUUCUGUUUCUCUGAUGGUCUUUUCCCAUCCACAUUAAAGGUCUAUGUGGCGGCUAUAGCAGCCUUCCACCACCUUUAAAUGAGGGCCCUUUGGGGAAACACCAGUUUAUUACUUGUUUCCUUUGUGGUGCUCGGAGGAUGAGGCCUGUAGUGCAGACCAGAGUUCCCAUGUGGGACCUGGCAGUGGUUCUUGAAGGGUUAUCCCUGGCACCGUUCGAACCUAUUGACGAGGUGGCAGACAAAUUUCUUUUAAAGUGGCCUUCCUACUUGUUAUUACGUCCCUCAAAAGAGUUGGGAGCCUGCAGGUACUCUCAGUGGCUCCCUCUUGCCUGGAGUUCGCCCCUGGUAGGGUCAAGGCCAUUCUCCACCCUAGACCUGGCUACGUGCCUAAGGUGCCUUCGAAUGUGGCACGGUCUGUUAUUCUGCAGGCCUUUCAUCCUCCACCUCAUGUGUCAGCUGAACAAGAGAGGCUACAUUUAUUAUGCCCUGUUAGAGCCUUGGGGGCCUAUGUACAUAGGUCCUCUGCCUGGAGGAAGUCAGACCAGCUACUUGUGUGCUUUGGGUCACUUAAGAAGGGUUCCCCUGCCUCUAAGCAGACUAUUAGCAGGAGGAUUGUUGAGGCUAUCUCUUCAGCGUAUGAGGCCCGCAAUUUGCCUUCACCUCUCCUGAUUAAAGCCCACUCGACUAGAGGAGUGGCUUCCUCUAAAGCCCUGCUAUCAGGGGUCUCCCUUCAAGAGGUCUGUGAUGCUGCGGGCUGGGCCUCCCCUCACACCUUUAUAAAAUAUUAUAGCUUGGAUCUGCCCUCUAUGCCGGGCUCUCAAGUUCUCAUGUCCUGAGUUGUGCCUGACAAGCUUCACACCAGGGCAACCUCUUCAGUGUGGCGCAGUGGGUAUUUUGUUCCCCAAAGUGUAGUUCCAACACAGCGCGAGUUCCCUCAAAAGGGAACGUCUCGGGGAACAAGGGUUACAGACGUAACCCAAGACAUUUUUCUCACUCGCUUUGGCACAUUUUCGAAACAGUCUUAAACUGUAAGUGUAAUUGUCACAACUGUUUGCUGGAACAUCACGUCUGCAAAAGGUAGUUACCCAAAACAUUUACAGUCAGAAAAUAUUCAGACACUAGAUAUAAUUUUGUACAUUUUUUUACUAGUGGGUGCAGGACACUAUUUUGCUAUCCUCACUUACAUAAAUGAACUAUAAAGUAAACUUGACAUAUUAUACCCAAAAAUUCUUCAUACAGUGGACUACCAGUAAAAUUUAUAAAAAUUUGGAACCAAAAAUUAUUCAGACACUUUGACCUGACCAUGUGACCUGACCAUAUCUGACAUAAUUAAGAUUGUUUUUUUCUGACACAGUUUAACUGAGAUCUUGUCAUAUUUUAUUACCAUUUUUUUAAACUAUAGUGAAUAAACUGUAAUAAUGAAUGAAAUGUUUAAGGUUUCUGAAUAAAUUUUGGUUUGAUUGUAAUUCAUGCUUCAAAACCUAGUUAUUGUGUCAGUAAGUUUGCCAGUGGCACCAAAAAAGUGUUUUUGUCAUCGUGUGAGCCAUACUAGUCAAAAUGUUUAGAUGUUUUUUCACCAUGGAAAUAGUUGUUAAAUACAAAUUUCAUGUAAUUUCUACUUUUUAGUUGACACUGUUUUCUACAUUAUACAAGAAUGUCAGUUUUGUCUGGCUGAAUGCUCUUGUGUCUCACACUAAGCUGUUUAGAAACAGAUUUCAGCAGUAAGUAAAAAUUUGUUAGCACUUUUACAGUCCUGUUCCCCAUGUACAUACUAUGUACUUAUUACAGAAAUUAUAAUAACUAGGUACUAACCCUGAACCUACACCUAAACCUAAACUUAACCCUUGUAGUUACCUUAUAUUACUCAGUAUUUUAAUAGGUAAGUACAUUGUAAGUUCAUGUAAGUACACGUACUGUAAAAUAAAGUGCAACCAAAAAUUUAAUUGGAAAAGUCAAUAUUGUAAUAUUCAAAAAGAAAGUGGACAUUUGGUCACUUUAUAUUAGGUGUCUAUAACUACAGUGUACUUAUUAUGUUCAUGUUGUAUCACAAAACACUAGUGCUGCUAUUGAGAUGGGAUGCGGGUAAGAUUAGGGGCAGGUUUGGUGGUAUGGGUAGGUUUUAUAGUAGUGUAGUGUAGUGUAAUUAUAGUUUUAACUGGUUGUAAUUACAAGCAGAUUUUUGUAAACAAUGUAAACACAUGAAUGUACACAAUAAGUGUGUUUUAUCAAAUUAUUCAUUUAAAUGUAAGUACAUAGUUAAAGAUACCUAAAAUAAAAUGGGACCGGACAUUUUUAUUUAUACAGCACAUAUUUUUAGAAAUGUGUUACAUGCAAAAUUCACAGUUGCUUGUUCAUUUUUACAUAUUAUGUCUUCUGCUAACACCACACAUUCUUACAAAUCUUGCUCUUCCACAAAAAGCAACUGUGAAUUUUCAGUUUACAUCUAACACAUUUCUACAAAAAUAAACUGCUGUUGCUGUUCAGGGAUUUAGACGUUCCUCCAUGUUCAAAAAUGGUAGUGAUUGUGCUGGGCAAACUCCAUAUCGCCUACUGUAUGCUUCCAAACUUGAUUGGAUGAUUGGUAAGAUUGUUUUUCCUAUUUCAUUACAAUGGCAAGCCAUUUGCCAAUUUAGCAGACAUUACAAACAUUCCAUGUCAGAUAUUUAUAGAAUAAACGUGUAUGUCUGACAGAUUUUGAUAACUGAAUGGAUCAUUUUGCAUGUGAAGGUUCACACAAUGAAAGAAUGUUUAGAAGUUAUGAAAAGUUUGACAAUUUCACUGAAAAUCAACUCAUCAGUUUUGAUCAACAAGCCAUGUGCAUUUAGAUAUUAUGCAAAUUGUAGACAAAUGUACUUACUCUUUUGACCAGAUGUGCUAAAACACAUGCAAUUUGCUUAAAUCAAUAAGAAAUUCAAAUCUGAUGUGCAACAAGAAACUAAUUGUUCAGAGAUCUGAACUUAUUGUUAUGAGAAAAAGUCUCAUUCGAGAAUUGAGCCAAAGCGAUUGAGAAAAACUGUAAUGCAUAGUUAUAUCAUCUUGUAUUAUGUUAAGAAAAUGAUAAUAACAACCCAAAUUAGGACAAAAAGACAUUUUUUUUUCUGUCUAAAGAAAAAACUACUAUAUAAUUAAUACACAUCAUUACGAUAAAGGUUGCAUCAAAAUGUAUGUACAUUUGUUUCCAAAUUUGCAUAGAAGGUGUGUGUGAGUUAUACAAAUACUGCAACAAAGUCAAGACAAACUUAUAUUAUGUAGUAACAAGUUUAGUAAGAGUGAUAUUCAGUCAUAAUGCAGUAAUUGUUCACAUUAAAAUAAUAGAAAUUUAGGAAUUGAAACAGCUGCAGUAUGUUUGUUUUACCACUAGACAGCACUGCUACCACACAGAAAGCCUAAAAUUGAUUCAUGACAGUUUCACUCACAUUAUGCAGGCCACAGUUGUUCAAAAGUAAUCUAAUCAGAUUUCGGCUUGGAUUGGAUCAAAUCCUAAAAAUGGGUUGCUCAAAAGAAAGAAAGAAAGAAAAAAAAAAAAAUUCGGAAAUGAGAUUAGAUCACAAAAUCCAAUCUUGGUUCUGAUCUGGAUCAAAUUAUCAUUUUGUGUUGUUCAAAACUCUUUAGUAAGAUUGGGAUAGCCUACCUUUGAUUAAAAAAAAAAAAAAGGAAGGGUGGAUUUCAGGAACAAAAAUUAAAUUAAAUUGGUCAAAAACAACAUUUGUAUUAUGUAAUAUACACACAUUUAUUUAUUUAUUUAUUUGGCUCUUAAUUAGUAAUUAGUUAUUAAAGUAAUAAUUAGGCUACCUAUUAAGCCUUUUGGUAGCCUACAGUAAAGUAAAAAAAGAGAAUUUAGUGCCAUAAAAUAAUGAUAUAGCACUCCACCCCCUACCUAAUCUUCCGUAGUGGGGUGAAAUAGCAAACAGGGGAAAAAGUCCCAGUUAUCUCAAGGAAAGCCACUCAGCGAAUCAAAUGCAAGAAUGUUCUUCUUGCAGAAGACCUUCAAAAAUAGGCAACCCAAUAAUGUCUUAAUUUAAGAGAGGAAACAGAACUUUGUACCACUUGCACUGUAUAUCAGAUGUCAUCCCACUUCUGAGAGUACAGAAAGGUGUUUAUGUCAAUAAGGUUCUAAUCAUGCUGCAGCAGUACUGAUGGUUGAAUUAAUAAUUCAGAUUCAUAAAGCCUUUGAUCUUUGGCUUUAUGUAUGAGCUGCAACAUUUGCUCCAUAAUCAUCUCUGGAACAAUCAGAAGUGAGAAUGCUAAUAAGAUAUUGAAAGUCUUGAAGAAUAAACCAUGUCUAUAAAUCCUUUUGACAUUUGAAACAUGAAUUUCAACAAAAUGUUCAAACAAAUUUUUUUUUUUUUUUUAAAGAAAAUUUGGAACGUUUUGUAAAAUCAAGAUUUCUUUUUUAAUUGACAUUCUUGGUCUUAUCGUGAACAAUUCAAUGAUGCAUGUUGCUCCAAAGGGAUGUUUGUAAGCUUUCAUCGCUAAUACAAUCAAAUCCCAGCAAAUAAAAUCGGGUCCCGGUCUACAGUUUUUUACGGAAGCCCUAAACGGCCAUGGAUUAUUAUUUUUUUCUAUCUUGUUUUGUCGUGAUCACGACUUAUUUUCUCGUGAUCUCGAGAUAACAAAAGUUGUCUUGUCGUGAUCAUGACUUAAUUUUCUCGUGAUCUCGAGAUAACAAAAGUUGUUUUCUCAUGAUCACGACUUAAUCUCUGCUCUAAAUUACAUAAAUGUGCCAACAGGUGUCAGAUUACCAAAUUUAACUGAUGAUGUGCGGUAAAUAUCCACUUUACUGUAUUAGUUCAUAUUGGCCCAGAUUGUACGAGUGUCGGACAGAGAGAGUCUUUGUGAUCGCUUUAUUUUGUGCAGUAUUGUGUGCGUUAAGUAAUUCACUUAACUGUAAAAUGCUUGAAUAUGAUUAUUUUGCUUGAAAGUGUAUCUGUUAUCGUUCUGACUAGUGCAUGACUCACUACAGUUUCACGACCGCAAUAGUUCGGUGUGAUUCUAAACUUAUUGGUUAUUAAAACUAAUUUUGAUGUCACUGUAUAGUAUUCUGUUUGCACCUUAUUGUGUAUCUUUAAGACGCCAUUUUAAUCAUCGCAGUUUCAAUGUUCGUUUCACUCACUCAAUGUAUAUUGAUAAGAAAUAUGAUUUAUAGCCUAUGUCAUUUAAUUCAGUGAUAGUGUGUAACCUAUUGUAUUUUCUACAUUUCUUUGUUGGAAACAACACACAUACAUAAACACUCUUCUCAAACAGCA